rnacentral:RNase_P_RNA from 1 species
CAAGUUGGCUGGGUGAUCGCGGCUGGCGCUGCCUUUGGGCGCGUUGGCUGAGGAAAGUCCGCACUCCACAGAGCAUGGCGCCGGCUAACGGCCGGGCGGGGCGACCCGCCGGAUAGUGCAACAGAGAGGCAUAUUGCCUGCUGCAAAAGCAGGUGAGGGUGAAACGGUGGUGUAAGAGACCACCGGCGGCGGCAGUAAUGUCGCCGGCCAGGCAAACCCCGCCAGGAGCAAGGCCAAGCAGGAUGAAGGGGCGGCUCGUCCCAUUUGACAUCCGGGUAGGCUGCAAGAGGGUGUUGGUAACAACACUCCCAGACAGAUGAUCACCGGUGAAGGCGGCAACGCUUUCAUUACAGAAUGCGGCUUAUAGGCCAACUUAGACA